rnacentral:rRNA from 1 species
AUUGAACGCUGGCGGCAGGCCUAACACAUGCAAGUCGAACGGUAACAGGGAUCAGCUUGCUGAUUCGCUGACGAGUGGCGGACGGGUGAGUAAUGUCUGGGAAACUGCCUGAUGGAGGGGGAUAACUACUGGAAACGGUAGCUAAUACCGCAUAACGUCGCAAGACCAAAGAGGGGGACCUUCGGGCCUCUUGCCAUCGGAUGUGCCCAGAUGGGAUUAGCUAGUAGGUGGGGUAACGGCUCACCUAGGCGACGAUCCCUAGCUGGUCUGAGAGGAUGACCAGCCACACUGGAACUGGGACACGGUCCAGACUCCUACGGGAGGCAGCAGUGGGGAAUAUUGCACAAUGGGCGCAAGCCUGAUGCAGCCAUGCCGCGUGGAUGAAGAAGGCCUUCGGGUUGUAAAGUACUUUCAGCGGGGAGGAAGGGAGUAAAGUUAAUACCUUUGCUCAUUGACGUUACCCGCAGAAGAAGCACCGGCUAACUCCGUG